rnacentral:rRNA from 1 species
GACGAACGCUGGCGGCGUGCUUAACACAUGCAAGUCGAACGGUAAGGCCCUUCGGGGUACACGAGUGGCGAACGGGUGAGUAACACGUGGGUGAUCUGCCCUGCACUUCGGGAUAAGCCUGGGAAACUGGGUCUAAUACCGGAUAGGACCCUGGGAUGCAUGUCCUGGGGUGGAAAGCUUUUGCGGUGUGGGAUGGGCCCGCGGCCUAUCAGCUUGUUGGUGGGGUGAUGGCCUACCAAGGCGACGACGGGUAGCCGGCCUGAGAGGGUAACCGGCCACACUGGGACUGAGAUACGGCCCAGACUCCUACGGGCGGCAGCAGUGGGGAAUAUUGCACAAUGGGCGCAAGCCUGAUGCAGCGACGCCGCGUGAGGGAUGACGGCCUUCGGGUUGUAAACCUCUUUCAGCACCGACGAAGCGCAAGUGACGGUAGGUGCAGAAGAAGGACCGGCCAACUACGUGCCAGCAGCCGCAGUAA